rnacentral:rRNA from 1 species
UACGAAGGGGGCUAGCGUUGCUCGGAAUCACUGGGCGUAAAGGGCGCGUAGGCGGCCGAUCAAGUCAGAGGUGAAAGCCCAAGGCUCAACCUUGGAACUGCCUUUGAUACUGUUUGGCUAGAGACCGGAAGAGGUAAGUGGAACUGCGAGUGUAGAGGUGAAAUUCGUAGAUAUUCGCAAGAACACCGGUGGCGAAGGCGGGUCUACUGGGCCGUAACUGACGCUGAGGAGCGAAAGCAUGGGGAGCAAACAGG